GUCCCCGUAGCUCAGCCGGAUAGAGCAAGACACUCCUAACGUCUAGGUCGCGGGUUCAAAUCCUGCCGGGGACGCCA
rnacentral:tRNA from 1 species